GAGCUCCUCCUUUUUCCUCGACUCUUCUUCCUCCUCAUCUCAAUCUUCUCGGCCGGUCCGCCUCGCCUGCCUCCUGUUACGGUACAUCAAAAUCGCAAGACCGAGCGCAGAGAAAUCACGAGCAUACCGCGGCCCAGCGAGUCGGACAAAGACACUCCUUGUCGUUGCGCUCGUUCAUUUUUGCCGAGGGUACAGAUCGCGCGAUGCGCUCUUGAUGCAUAUAUCCAGUAUAUCCCGGCGGGAUAAGAAAACCGCGAGGGGGGGCCACCGAGAAAAUUCUAUUCCAACUACGACGUACUCGCACCGCGGUAAUUUCGACAAACCCGUUGUAUACGUAUACAUACGGUCCGUAUAACCCCACCGGAUUAUAACUUCAGGGAACUUGCCAAAUUACCCUACAUUAUACCCGCGUAAGUCCGAACAACACUUCGUGCGCUUUGAAUAACGGCCCGAAAAAUCUUCCGAGCGAUGAUAAAAAAAAAAAGUCCUUCGUUCCCAACGAUUUUCUUCAAAUAUCGCGGACCGAUUUAACGAUCGAAAAUUAUUGUACCCGAAAUCGAGAGUGAGUAGAGGAAGAAACAAUAAAGGCGAAGACCACGUGCGAUAGGCACGUGACGGCACCGACGUGAUCGAAGAAUCGACCGAGGGAGGAAAUGUAUAAAAAAAAAAAACGUUAACGAAAAAGAGGAAAAUGUCUGCAGAGGCUCUUGGCUUUUCUGGGUCACAUACGUUGUUACAGGGCAUAGAUUCAAACUACAUAAAACUCGUACGAUCGCGAUGUACGUACAUACGAGGGUUGCCAUGACGAUUUCGCACCCUCCACUUCCGCGGAUCACCCUUGCCACCGUCACCUCUUCAUGACCUACAAGCUACAAACCUACCUCACCGCGAAUCGACGACGCGCGCUAGUUUUUACAUUUUUUUUAUUCGUCGCGAGACGAGAUGCGAAAGUUGAUGAACGUUGGGCGCUCUGAGAAUGAAUAAAAUUGAGGAAGGAAGAACGAAGAAACGAAAUUAGAGGAAAAAAAAAAAAAAACCGAGGAGAAAGAAGCAAGGGUGGAAAAAGAAGAAAUGUGAGAAACCCUGUAAUCUUGCUUGGUAUGUAAAGUACCUUAAAUAUACAUAUGUGUGUACGCGAAAGUAUACGUAUGUACACAUAAGUAAAUAUGUAAACCGUUGGAAAGGCUUCACUUUAUAUACCAUUAUUCCGUACACAUAGAUAGGCGAAGUAUUCCGACAAUUCUUUCUUACUUUCUUCAUCGCUUUUCUUACAUUUGGAUUUUUCUUUUCCCAAAUGAAUCGUUAUUGUACUAAUUGCAAUUCGAAGCAACGAGACGCGUGUGUGCAACUGACGAAAAAAUAAAAUAAAUAAAGAAAAUCAAAAAAACCCUACCAUCCAUCCACCCCGCAUUCGAGUUUCCAUCGCUUUAAGCUCAGGUGAAGGUAAAAAUGCGUGGUAAACGUAAACGUGAAUGUAACAGGGAAGAACGUAGGUGUACGACGUGUACGUACGUACCUACCUACAUGUAAACGCGAAAGGACGUUAACCCUACGCUGGAUAUCCCCCUUAUUUUUUACCUCCUUACUUUUUAUUCAUUUAUUUAGUUAUUUAUUUAUUUAUAUUUUUUCUCUCCUUUUCCCCUCGACCCUUUUUCUUUUUUUUUUUUUUUUCUCUUUUUGCUCUCCCCCGCCGAACGAAAUCUCUAUCUUAAUAUAUUCCGUUGCGGCUCUCCUUCUGUUGCGCAGCACUCGACAUGGGAAGCAUAAAAAUUCUAUGUUUAUGUACUACCGAGGAACUGCAGCGGUGUAUACGUCUCUACGUACAUAUAUACCUUAUAAAGGAAUCGUACACGUACACGAUCGAGUAUACAAUAAAUACCACGCGGUUAUAGGCCGGCGUGGAGCCUUGAGAAAUUUUUUUUUCAUUCCCUCCCCAUCUCUAUCUUUGUGAGGUAUUUUUUGUUUCAUCGGUGAUCCAGGCGUCGAAUCGAAGGACAUUGAUUAGAAUGGAAAUAGCAUAGAUAAAGAGA